AAAUUGCGUUAGGGAUUGAAGCGACAUCCUUUUUUGAAGUAUGAGAAAAAGAUAUAGCAGAAAGCCCGACCUUUA
rnacentral:sRNA from 1 species